UCGGGCCUCUUGAAGCUCGAGUACCGCGACCACAGCAUCAUCGCCUAGACCGCUGGAUAAAAGCAUCCAUUUCACUAAUAAAGAACCAGGACCCUUUUCCAACUACAACGACGUCAGGAUCCAGCUCAAAUGGCAUUCAAGAAUUCUCAGGAGCAACGCCUACAUGUAUUGUAGCAGGUGGAGAAUCAGAUUCUGAAGGGUCCAUUAGUGUGGAAAUUGUAAAACCUUCUAAGAGGAACAAGAAGGAAACAAAUGCCAAGUCUGUUGCAAAAAAGAGAAAGGUCACUGUGGCAAAGAAUGUGCAGAUGGUCACUUUAUAGUUGAGAAGAUCUUGAAGGAUAGGAUGAAGAAUGGGGUCAGGGAGGGACUCAUCAGUUGGGAUGGCUAUGAUUCGACGCACAACACGUGGGAGCCUAUGAAGGAAUUACCAAAAGACAUUGUUACAGACUAUUAUCAGAAUAAGAAGAAACAUUAGAUAGUUGUAGUACAUGACAUACAAUGAUGUCCAGUCAUUUUCAGAUUUUGAGUGGCCAUGGACAUAAGGCCAAAUUUCAAUGAAAAAAACUACAUUGAAAUCUAAAUGCUGAAAUGGUGCAAAAAGAAAUUUCUGAAUAUGACAUGAACAUAAUCAGAGUUUGAACGACUACCACUGCUCUGUACAAAUCAUACAAAUAUCCAAUUCACAAUUAAAUCGACAAAAACUGGGUCAAGACUAGUAACU